GAGCCUGUAGCUCAGUCGGUAGAGCAACGGACUUUUAAUCCGUGGGUCGUGGGUUCGAAUCCCGCCGGGCUCA
rnacentral:tRNA from 1 species